rnacentral:rRNA from 1 species
GAUGAACGCUGGCGGCGUGCUUAACACAUGCAAGUCGAACGAAGCUAUUGUACGGAAGCCUUCGGGUGGAAGGGCGAUAGACUGAGUGGCGGACGGGUGAGUAACGCGUGGGCAACCUGCCUUAUACAGGGGGAUAACAGAGAGAAAUUUCCGCUAAUACCCCAUAAGACCCCGGUGUCGCAUGACACAGAGGUAAAAGAUUUAUUGGUAUAAGAUGGACCCGCGUCUGAUUAGCUGGUUGGUGAGGUAAAGGCUCACCAAGGCGACGAUCAGUAGCCGGCCUGAGAGGGUGAACGGCCACAUUGGGACUGAGACACGGCCCAAACUCCUACGGGAGGCAGCAGUGGGGAAUAUUGGACAAUGGGGGGAACCCUGAUCCAGCGACGCCGCGUGAGUGAAGAAGUAUUUCGGUAUGUAAAGCUCUAUCAGCAG